UGGGGAAUAUUGGACAAUGGGCGCAAGCCUGAUCCAGCAAUGCCGCGUGAGUGAUGAAGGCCUUAGGGUUGUAAAGCUCUUUCGCACGCGACGAUGAUGACGGUAGCGUGAGAAGAAGCCCCGGCUAACUUCGUGCCAGCAGCCGCGGUAAUACGAAGGGGGCUAGCGUUGUUCGGAAUUACUGGGCGUAAAGGGCGCGUAGGCGGCCUGUUUAGUCAGAAGUGAAAGCCCCGGGCUCAACCUGGGAAUAGCUUUUGAUACUGGCAGGCUUGAGUUCCGGAGAGGAUGGUGGAAUUCCCAGUGUAGAGGUGAAAUUCGUAGAUAUUGGGAAGAACACCGGUGGCGAAGGCGGCCAUCUGGACGGACACUGACGCUGAGGCGCGAAAGCGUGGGGAGCAAACAGAUUAGAUACCCUGGUAGUCCACGCCGUAAACGAUGAAUGCUAGACGUCGGGGUGCAUNCACUUCGGUGUCGCCGCUAACGCAUUAAGCAUUCCGCCUGGGGAGUACGGCCGCAAGGUUAAAACUCAAAUGAAUUGACGGGGUCAUAGCUGUUUCCU
rnacentral:rRNA from 1 species